UCACUUAUUUUUACUAAUAAACUGUAUUGGUCAACAACGUUGAUUUGUACACAAUUAAUUGUAAACAAAGUAACGUGGUUGCAAAUACCAGAGGUAUCAAGUGGUGACUUUUUCAACUGUUUUGUGAUGCUUUUUUUUCAUUGAAGUUAACUCUCUUCUUCCUCUUUGAUGCAAAGUUUUAUCCAUCGUCAAAUAACAAAAGACGCUUAUUUUAGGUUUAUGAAUUUAUAAGAACACGAUUUUUUUGUUACUAAUCAUCUUAUAAUUACCUUUUUAGCAUCAACAUUUGUUUAUUGAGUGUGAUUAAAAUGAUGAUAAUUUACAUGAAAGUAAAGAUUUGUUCAAUAGUAUUAUCUUCAACUGUUUAAUGGCAUCAGCAGCAAACUAUGAACCAAAAGGUAUCCAUUGCAUUGACUUUUUGUUUGAUUACUAUUGGAUUCAUCGUUAAAAAAUGAUUCUCACCUUGAAGCGGAAUCUAGGAAUUAAAGGAGACUCAAAGGAGAUAUAUAAAAAUUCCAAUGCAAUCAGUAGCAUCGAUAGAACAUAAUUUGGCGUUUUUCUUCUUUCUUCAUCACAAAUCAUGUCUUAGCCUGGAAUCGGAUCAAUGGAUUAAAUUGAAAAUGGAUCGGGAUUUACACGCAAGUUAUUGUGAUCACCUCUCGACAUCUCAUUAUGUUAAUGAUAACAAUCAAUGUUCAACUCAAAUCCAGCUCAUCAUGACUAUUGAUUUACCCUUCAACACCGAUCUUUGCUGACCAACAAUUGAUAUCCCGUUUUCAGGGUUUACAUGAAGGGAUCAGGAACACGGAAGAUAUAGAUAGGAAUACAACUGAUAACUAAUUUAUUUCUUGGUCAAAUGGCUCUCCAUGAAUAGUCAAUCAAUCGCCUGUUAAUCCAUAUGUCAAUCCUUAAUCUCACCACCAAUCAAGCUACUUGAACGUCUUACCUAGCAAUAGCAACAUCAGGAUUGACUGACUCAAAACAACUUACUAAAAUUGAACUUUCAAUUUCUCAAUGAUUUAAAUCACGAUGAAAAUUCAUUAGGAUUGUAACAAGAAAUGGAAUCUGGAAAAGGUAAAUUUCAAUCAACGUUAAAGCUUCUUCGGCUGCAUCAAGUAUUCCGAUUGCUGUUUGAAAUGAACAUUUAUUUACAUUCACUGUUCAAUAACACAAUUCAACUUAAUUGAUAUGUUAUAAUGAACAAAAUGUGACCCAAGUCUGAUACAAAUGAAGCAUCAAUUUGAUUUGUUGUUAAAUCGGUUGAAAGCUUUUACAGGUUAUAAUAUUGACCUUGUUUUUAUUCAACCCUUUUUUAUCACACAGAGACUGUGAUUGGAUCCAAAAAAAGUUAAACAUAAUGAUACUAAUCAUCAGAAUCACCAUCAACCUCAACAUUUUGUAUUAUCUUUUGUUGCUGUUUUGUCUCUAUUUCAACCAAAAUUGAUGCCAAAAAACAUAAGAGAUUAGUUGACUUAAUCCGCAAUGAUUUUUGGUUCUCAUCGAAACAAACCCGUCUAACCCAAAAAUACACAACAGUAAUCAUUCCGAUGAUGAAGUAGCAAAUUGGAAUCGACCAAAAAACAAUCCAAAAUAAAUGGGACAACAGGAUUUAUUGAUUAUAUUGGAUGUUGGUGUCAAUUUAUGGUUACA